rnacentral:rRNA from 1 species
UACGGAGGGUGCAAGCGUUAUCCGGAUUCACUGGGUUUAAAGGGUGCGUAGGUGGGUCUGUAAGUCCGUGGUGAAAUCUCCAAGCUUAACUUGGAAACUGCCAUGGAUGCUAUAGGUCUUGAAUACCGUGGAGGUGAGCGGAAUAUGUCAUGUAGCGGUGAAAUGCUUAGAUAUGACAUAGAACACCAAUUGCGAAGGCAGCUCACUACACGAAUAUUGACACUGAGGCACGAAAGCGUGGGGAUCAAACAGG